rnacentral:lncRNA from 1 species
UGCAUUUGUUAGAGGCAGUGUAUGACUGGCUUCCUAACUGACAGAUCUCAUAGCGAUAUGGAAAAAUGAAGGAAAAGAUCAAAAGUUGGAAUCUUAGUACAUUUUCUCAUUGCAUUCUGCUUUGCUUUCUGAGAAAGUUCCACUUGAUAAACAACAACUUUCUCUUCCUGGGGAAACAGUAAAUUAUAACAAUGCUGACUGGAUCUGAUGAAAAAACAUAUAGCAAAGGAAUCUGUUGUGAGGAAGAAGACUGGAAAAUGAGAGAAGCAUGUUCUGGAGUGCUUAGCACUGUUCAAAGAACCAGAGAAGCUUUGCGCUUUUGACUCUUCUGAAAGGAUGCUCAAUUAUUUUAUCCAUUAUUUCUCAAAGAACCUAUAUACCUGCUCCAUAACAUCAUCCGAAAGCAAAUACAACGCUGUCAGAAAAAAGGGUGCAGUAUCUCCAGUAGUAUGUGAAUUAUUGUGAAAUGGAUCCUAGGUGAGAUAACUUAAAAACAAUCUGAACUAAUUAAACUACAAAUUGUGAAUCUUAAUUUUCUUCUAGAUUUUCUGGUAAAGAAAAAUAAAAUAGCAGAGUCCCUUUCA